UACGUAGGGACCAAGCGUUGUUCGGAUUACUGGGCGUAAAGGGCGCGUAGGCGGCAAUUCAAGUCAUCUGUGAAAUCUCCGGGCUUAACUCGGAACGGUCAGAUGAUACUGCUUUGCUAGAGUGCAGAAGGGGCAAUCGGAAUUCUUGGUGUAGCGGUGAAAUGCGUAGAUAUCAAGAGGAACACCUGAGGUGAAGACGGGUUGCUGGGCUGACACUGACGCUGAGGCGCGAAAGCCAGGGGAGCAAACGGG
rnacentral:rRNA from 1 species